rnacentral:rRNA from 1 species
UACGGAGGAGGCAAGCGUUAUCCGGAAUUAUUGGGCGUAAAGCGUCCGUAGAUGGUUUUGUCAGUCCGCUGUCAAAGCACAGGGCUUAACCCUGUAAAGGCAGUGGAAACUACAAGACUAGAGUGCAGUAGGGGCAGAGGGAAUUCCCAGUGUAGCGGUGAAAUGCGUAGAGAUUGGGAAGAACACCCGUGGCGAAAGCGCUCUGCUGGACUGCAACUGACAUUGAGGGACGAAAGCUAGGGGAGCGAAUGGG